rnacentral:rRNA from 1 species
GACGAACGCUGGCGGCGUGCUUAACACAUGCAAGUCGAACGGAAAGGCCAUGCUUUUGUGGGGUGCUCGAGUGGCGAACGGGUGAGUAACACGUGAGUAUCCUGCCCUUGACUUUGGGAUAACUUCAGGAAACUGGGGCUAAUACCGGAUAGGAGCUCCUGCUGCAUGGUGGGGGUUGGAAAGUUUCGGCGGUGGGGGAUGGACUCGCGGCUUAUCAGCUUGUUGGUGGGGUAGUGGCUUACCAAGGCUUUGACGGUUAGCCGGCCUGAGAGGGUGACCGGCCACAUUGGGACUGCGAUACGGCCCAGACUCCUACGGGAGGCAGCAGUGGGGAAUAUUGCACAAUGGGCGGAAGCCUGAUGCAGCAACGCCGCGUGCGGGAUGACGGCCUUCGGGUUGUAAACCGCUUUCGCCUGUGACGAAGCGUGAGUGACGGUAAUGGGUAAAGAAGCACCGGCUAACUACGUG